AGCAGUGGGGAAUUUUGGACAAUGGGCGCAAGCCUGAUCCAGCAAUGCCGCGUGCAGGAAGAAGGCCUUCGGGUUGUAAACUGCUUUUGUUCAGGGAAGAAAUACCUCUAGGUUAAUACCCUUGGGGGAGUGACGGUACCUGAAGAAUAAGCACCGGCUAACUACGUGCCAGCAGCCGCGGUAAUACGUAGGGUGCAAGCGUUAAUCGGAAUUACUGGGCGUAAAAGCGUGCGCAGGCGGCUUUGCAAGACAGAUGUGAAAUCCCCGGGCUCAACCUGGGAACUGCAUUUGUGACUGCAAGGCUAGAGUACGGUAGAGGGGGAUGGAAUUCCGCGUGUAGCAGUGAAAUGCGUAGAUAUGCGGAGGAACACCAAUGGCGAAAGGCAAUCCCCUGGACCUGUACUGACGCUCAUGCACGAAAAGC
rnacentral:rRNA from 1 species